UUUAUUUUUUCCUCCUUCUCUCUGUUUUCUUCUUUCGAUUUUCCUUCUUCUCUCUAUGCUUAGUUCUUUGUGUUACAGAGUAUAAUAGAAGAUUGGUAUACCUAAUAAAUCAAAGAAACGAAUAGUUCUGAUAGAUUCAGAUGCUAAAGUGAAGAUGAGUAAAACUAAGAAAACAAAGAAACGACGAAGUAAAAUACGAAUUGAGAGGAAUGAUGUUGAAUAUGACAGGGUACCUUUUAAAAAUUUUAAGGUAAAUUUGAUGGGGACUAGCCAGAGCUUUGAGUUCAGGGACCGUGAUAGAGAAGAUAUGAGUCUGGAUAGGUUAAAAUACAUGAUGAGGCCAAAGUUGAGAUUGAAAGGUGAUGAAACUAUAGACAUAUUGUGGUCAGAGGAAGCUUGUACUCCAAUGUCAUUGUAUAGAGAAGAAGAGUUCAAGUAUUGUUGGGAUAAUACAGAAAUUGGUGACAAUGGUUGGAGUAAAAUGUAUAUGCAAGGGAUAGAGAGUAGUAAGGAUGGUGAUGAUUCUAGUAUUAUCUGUGAAAUAGUUCUUCCACACAAGUACUUGAGCCCAGUGAAGAAUAGGGCACCAAACAAACCAGUAUCCAAAGGAAAGCAUAUGAAUCAGUAUCCAAAGGAGAUACACCCUCUACUUCAACAACAAAUAAACCAGUCUCCAAAAAAAAGAAUGCGCCUCUUAGUUCAAGAAGAAGUCCAAGGCUAUCAACAUUUUUUAAGAAGCAAAUUGAAGGAAAAAGUAAGAAGAAGUUGUUUGUUGAUAUAUCAGAUGAUGAAGAAGUAUGUGAACAAACUCAAGCAACAGAUUCAAUUGUGGAUAAUGACAAGGAAGGUCCAGAAGUAUAUGUUCCUGAAUUUUGUGAAGAAACUCAACGAACACAGGCAAGUGUGGAUGGAAACAUGUCUGAAGAUGAAGUAAUUCUUCCUCAAAUGUCAGAACAAACUCAAGGUAUAACAGAAGCUUGUGUUUUUUAAGAAGAAGUAUUUAAUCAUGAUUUCUGGGUUUGAAGAUGCAAACAAGCAAUUAUUGUUGAAGAUAUUCACAAGUUGAGUGAAGAAUAUAAGAAGAGUGAUGAGUUUGUUUUUCAGCUUCCAAAGAUUGAAGAAGAUGAGUGCCAUCCUGAUGAGGAUAUUAACAAUGUGCCUGGAUAUGAACAAGAGCUUAAAGAUGACUUGGAUUACAAUAAGUUUUUGAAGAAGGUUUAUAAUGGGUAUUAAUCAUAUAAGGGAAGUGACAGUGAGAGUGAAGGCGGUAGUGAUGCUGAUAGUGUUGGUGGGGAUCCAGAAUUUGGUGAAGUUGAGGUGGAAAAUGACAAGGAAGAGGACCACAUAGGAGAUUUACUGGAUUCAGAUUCUGAAAAGGAAGAUAAUGUUUACAUUUUGUUUAUUCCUUGUUUUUUUGUUUAAUCUUAGGUAUUUAUGUUUACAUUUGUUACAUAUAUUGUUUUUUUAAUCCUUAUAUUUUUAUUCCUUGAUCAUAACAAGUUGAACCAUUUGUUGGGCCUGAGUGUAGUGUGUCUAAGUUCAAUAUGCCUUCUCAUGAUAACUCAGAGUUUGAGAAGCAAUAUGCAGAACACUUGAAAGAAGAAGAAUUGGAUCCAAGCUCACUCAUAGUUGGAAGCAAGUUUAUGAAUAAAUCUUUCUUCUACAAGCAUGUGAACAACUUUUGUGUGCUGAAGAAACACCAGACAGGGGCUACUAAGAGUUCUACUACCAAGCUAAGGGUUAAGUGCAUUCAUUGUAGGACUCUCAACUAUCCAUUAUUCAUUUAUGACAUUGUCAAUAAAGUUGAAUGUAAAACUUUCACACUUAGAUGAUUUAACCUAGAUAACAACUGCAAUGGUGACAAAGGUGUCAGGAACAAAUGUGCAAACCCAUCAUAUGUAGAUGGUUGGUACUAUGAGAAGAUUAAGUAUGAACUUGGCAUUAAUGAACCAGUACCAUGUGCUGAUGACUUAACAACACAAUUCAACAAAGCCAAAAAGGUGAACAUUAAAUAUCACACUGCAUGGAGGGCAAGGGUGAAGGUGUUAGAGAAAAUAAAUGGAAGUUAUGAGAAGAGAUACCAAAUGGUGCCUGUAUUUUGUGAUAUGGUCAAGGUAACACUAUAUGCUUUAACUUUAUUUUGAUUCUUUGUUUUACUUUUUGUCUAAUGGUGCCUGAAUAUGAUCUUUACUUUCUUUGUUUCGUGGGAGAGGAAACCAAGAAGUGUAGCUACAUUUUCAUAUGGGACUGAAGAUAAUACUCUCUUUUCCAUGACAAUAUGUUUCAAAGACACAAUGGAUAGAUUCUUUGCUGGAUGUAGAAAAGUUAUUGGUCUGGAUGCAUGUCAUUAGUAUGGGAAGUAUGGUGGUGUGCUUCUACAUGCAACUGGAUUAGAUGGUCCAAAAUGGAUUAGUUCUAUUAGGUAUAAUGGUAUGAAGGAAUUAAGCAAUAGAGAAUUGGAAGAUAUUAUUGGAGGAUUUGAAGAAGUUGUUAGGUGAUGAAUGGGAGUUUAUCUUCAUCUCUGAUAAGUAGAAGGAGAUUUUAGAAGGUGUUGACCAUCACUUUCCCUUUUUUGAGCAUAGACAAUGUGUCAGACACUUGAUAGCCAACUUUAAGAAGUACUACAAGGUGUUUAGCUUGCAGACGCAUCUUUGGAAUGCUGCUAAAUGUUAUAAGCUCAAACAUUUUAAUUUAAGUAUCUAUUAGACUCAAUAAUUUUCUGUUUGUAUUCAUGUAAUUAUCUAUUUUAUGUUUAUACUUACAACUUAGCAAUGUAUUAUCAGUGUAGCACAGAUGGAAGAUGUCCUACAUCAAUUAUGCACCAACAUAUGGAUGCUAUGGCAGCUGAGCACCCAGCUGCUGCAAGAUGGCUCAUGGAUGAAAGGCCUGAAACCUAGUCAAAAUCUCAUUUGCCACCUACUAGAAAAUGUGAUCACAUUAACAACAACUUUUCAGAAUCCUUCAAAAAUAUGUCCAUGAAGUUGAGAGAUAAGUCAGUCUGCAAGUUAGGUUUGAUGUAUGGGAAAUUGGUUAUGGGUCUUAUGCACAAGAGGAUGAAUGAGGCUGAAAAUAGAAGGAUGGCGACUUUGUUCCAAAGGCUAUGCAGCUGAUUAGCAAGAUGUGUGACUUGACCACUAAUUUUAAAUUGGAUGAUGUUGCAAGGGGGAAAGUGUAUGAGGUUACAAGUUGUCAUGGAGCUAUUUUUGCUAUGAAUCUUCCAAAGAAUACUUGUACCUGUUUGCAAUGGCAGCUAAGGGGGUUUGUCUUCCAGCAUGUUGUGUGUGCCUUAAAGCUAAUGAUACCUGUUUGGGAUGAGUACUGUGACAAGUAUUAUUGGGUGGAUAGCUACAAGAAAACAUAUGCUCCAGAGUUUAACCCAUUAUCGGGCCCAGAUGACUAUGAAAAG